rnacentral:rRNA from 1 species
AUUAAACCAACAUUACCUARGAACCCUUAUAAACUACUGAGUAAUUCUAUACCUCCUAUAGAAAAUUUUAUGUUAAAACUAGUAACAAGAAGAAGAACUUCUCCUACAAUGCAAAUGUAAAUCAGACAGGACACCCCACUGAUAAUUAACGUCAAUGAAUAAAGAAUAGCAACCUAACAAGAAAACCCUACUACAACAUACGUUAACCUAACACCAGAGCAUUACAAGAAAGAUUAAAAGAAAAAGAAGGAACUCGGCAAACAUUAACCUCGCCUGUUUACCAAAAACAUCGCCUCUUGCAAAAUAUAAGAGGUCCAGCCUGCCCAGUGACUCUGUUCAACGGCCGCGGUAUCCUAACCGUGCGAAGGUAGCGUAAUCACUUGUUCUUUAAAUGAGGACUAGUAUGAAUGGCACCACGAAGGUUAUACUGUCUCCUAUUUCUAAUCAGUGAAACUAAUCUCUCCGUGAAGAAGCGGGGAUAACCAUAUAAGACGAGAAGACCCUAUGGAGCUUUAAAUGACACAACACCUGUUUUAACCCACUUAAAUUUCAGAAGACCCUCACUUAUUUUUGCAGGAUGAUUGUUAAUUUUAGGUUGGGGUGACCGCGGAGUAAAAAACAACCUCCACACUGAAAGGGGACCGCCCCUUAGCUAAGAACCACACCUCCACGCACCAAUAAAAUGACACUAAUUGACCCAAUAUAUUGAUCAACGAACCAAGUUACCCUAGGGAUAACAGCGCAAUCCACUUCAAGAGCCCCUAUCGACAAGUGGGUUUACGACCUCGAUGUUGGAUCAGGGUAUCCCGGUGGUGCAGCCGCUACCAAAGGUUCGUUUGUU